rnacentral:rRNA from 1 species
AGUUUGAUCAUGGCUCAGAUUGAACGCUGGCGGCAGGCCUAACACAUGCAAGUCGAGCGGUAGAGAGGUGCUUGCAUCUCUUGAGAGCGGCGGACGGGUGAGUAAUGCCUAGGAAUCUGCCUAGUGGUGGGGGAUAACGUUCGGAAACGGACGCUAAUACCGCAUAAUGUCUACGGACCAAAGUGUGGGACCUUCGGGCCACAUGCUAUCGGAUGCGCCUACGUGGGAUUAGCUAGUUGGUGAGGUAAUGGCUCACCAAGGCGACGAUCUCUAGCUGGUUUGAGAGGAUGAUCAGCCACACUGGAACUGAGACACGGUCCAGACUCCUACGGGAGGCAGCAGUGGGGGAAUAUUGGACAAUGGGCGCAAGCCUGAUCCAGCCAUGCCGCGUGUGUGAAGAAGGCCUUCGGGUUGUAAAGCUCUUUUACUCGGGACGAUAAUGACGGUACCGAGAGAAUAAGCCCCGGCUAACUCCGUG